AAUUGUAAAAAAGUUCAAAUUUUCUUCUAAAGAAUUAGUACUUGUUGACGAAAUAAAGCAAAACAACUUACAAAAGACAAAGUUCAAAGUAAUCUGUAGUCCUACUCACUCCUCUAUCGUGCUUUGUACUAUAGUACAAACACUGAGCCAUAACUGAAAAAAUCACCCGUCUAAGAUCCUAGCCCAUUCCCUAUUCUCCAUUUAAUGAUUAAUGUUUGAUUUAGGAGUAUAGUAAAUAUAUUAUUUAGACCAGCUAAAUGAAUAUUUACAUAUUCCAAGCAUCAUCAUUACAUCAUUUAUGAAUGUAGUUAUUUUCAUAAUCAAAUCUGAAUGAAGUCAUUCUCAUCUGAGCAUGAACAAAAUCACGCAGUGUAAUAUUCCAGUAGAAUCACUAUUCAUUUGAUGAUUAAUGUCUGACUUAGGAGUAGUAAAUAGUUACCAUUUAGACCAGCUAAGUGAAUAUUCACACACUCCAAACAUCAGCAUUACAUCAUUUAUGAAUGUAGUUGUAUUCAUCUGAUGAGUAUGAAAAACAUUAAUGAGCGCUGCGAAAGAAAAAAAAUGAAAAGAAAAUAAGAAAGGCGAAAAGAAAAAAAGCAAACAGAGGAAGACAAGAUUGGAGACAGGAUGAUGGAGAAAAGAGCAGUUCGUCCAUGGGGAAUGAAAGAUCAGUGAUGCGUAGGUUUGUAUGGGUGGUAAGAUCACAGCUUAGGCUUAGACUAUUCAUAGUGCAGGCCUAGACAUAAGACUAACUCUCUACUCUUUCAGCAGGUUUAUUGGCUAUGGGUAAAGUAUAAGUUAUGACUGGUGUAGUUCUUAGUCUUGGUUCUAAGAUACUCAAUCUUGAAGCAAAAUUAAGAGCUACCCAGUCAUCAGUAAAGCCAUAUCUUGAGUAGACGAUGAAGACUCUCCCUUUGAUGUCCCUGAUGAGUGGCUGGAGGCAAGUGAGGUCAGCUUUGCAGCAAUGGUUAAGUAUAACGUGUGACGUAUCGGGUGAAAGUAUAGGAAAGAAACCUAUAACCUUUUAUUCACAGCCUAUAACAUUUGUAUCCACAGUCUAAUCUUUUAUCUAUAGCCGAAACCUUUUAACAUUGGUAUUUUUUUUUUCACAGCUCUUGGACACCUCAGCUGAUAUUGGUUAGGUAAGGUAUUAGGGUUACCUCAUGUAAUGUACAUGGUGAACCUGACUUUGGCUUAUUGAAGUGACCCAAUAAUAUAACAUUUCUUGCUAUUUUUGUCAUCCAAAAAACAGAUCAUGUUUGCUCUUGAGAUGAUAAAGUAGCGUAUGUGCUGAAAUCUUCUCUGAGCUGUGGUGAUGUCUACAAGCAGGGACUUGGUUUGUUUGAGCAGUCCCUUUUGGAGUGGCGACUACAACCGGACCAGUUGGAUUGAGCAUCGCUUGAGAAUAUGGGUGCAAAGUGUCAACUACAGGCUGCUUGAUUGAGAUGAUGACCUUGGAGAUGACACACACCGUAUCUUGAGGCAUUACGCUCUUUGGACUGUGGAGGGCAUGCAACCAAGGAGAACAUCCACAUAUUGGAGCAGAGGGUGAGAUCUCGAGACGCAAGACAACCCUACAGUGGCAUCAUGUUGACUGAUGACCGACUUAGCACAUGAAUCACUUGGCCAAGGGGCGACUUCCCACUGGGAUGAGUAGCACUUCAUCUUGGAGGUUAUGCACACCUGCGAACCCUGGGCUCGCCGGCUUUACGCCUUAAAUUGCAAGCUGACGGUGUGACCUCGCUUGACCCUAUACUCAUCUGGGAGAUGCUGCCUGCCUCCAUCAUCUUCAUGCAAUUGGAGUCAACCACAUCCCUCGCAGUCUAUACGGGGCUUACCAGGAAAGUCUACUCAGUUGUAGCUCCAGACCGGAAACUUUAGACCAUGGCCCAAUUUCAUACAUCUGCUUGAUCAUAAAAAGUAGCUCAGCACAACAAACUUAUGCUUACAGAAAUUACGUUACCAGCUAAGACUACCAUGUCACAUGCUUGUGACCGAUACCCUGCUCAUUUCGGCUAAUCUGCUGAAGCAGUUCUAGGAAAUUGGUCCCUGACCUGAUAGUCGUGGAGAGCCAAGACCACGCCUAUACAUCACUGAUGACGUAGCCACCCUCUUCAAACCUCAGAGAUACCCUCAUUAGGAUGGAACACAAGUGCAACAAUGAGUGACUAUGUCAAGUCUAACUAGAUAACUCGUCACUACAAGUCACUAUAAACACGUGAAUGUUGUGUGAACCAACGCUCCGUUGACUGCGGCUGAAGGACUAUGUCAAGUUUAACUACAAGUCAUCCGUUGACGUGAUAGGAAUUUUGAGAACAAACAAUGCUCCUGUGACUCUAACCACCAGCAGCUGAAGGACUAUGUCCUUCCAAUGAUUGUUUAUUUAUUUUAAUAAUUAUCUGACUUUUGUUGUCUUAAAGGUACCGGACACUAUUGGUAAUUAAUUACUCAAAAUAAUUGUUACGAAGUGAGACUACUAGUCUUUGACAAUUACCAUAUUGUCUAGUACCUUUAAGUUAUUUGAUUACUGGUAAGCAGCUUGUGUUGCCCCAAUUUCAUAGAGCUGCUAAGCAGAACACCAGUGACAACGGGUACAUGUGGAAGGCUAUUCUGGCUAGUAACCUUUUUCUGGUAAGCAUAAUUUUGUUGUGCUAAGUAACUUUAUGUGCUUAGGCAGCUCUAUGAAAUUGGGCUGUGGUCAAAGGCCUCCCUGUGGCUGUGCAUAUAUUUGUGAAAUUUAAAAGUAGAUUAGAUUUCAAAAUUCCAUGCACAGCAACAGUCCUGCUAAGAUUAUGACAACAGUUUCCCUUUUAAAGGGAAUGUAUACCUUUGGUAAACACUUUUAAAAAGAAUGGCAAACAAACUUUUGGUUUUAAGCCUAUAAAAGCUUUUGAUAGUAUAAAGCUAUUUGAGAAAUAUCAUUUUAAAGUAAUUUGUUUAUGGAUAAUGAUAUCAGUUGAUGUGCUCCCAAAUUUGAAUCUGAGAAGCAUUACUGUCAGUAAUGUUUCUCAGAUUGUGAUAUUCCUAUUACAGAUUCUUCUUCCUGCGUGGCUUACUCACUCCAGAUUUUCAAAAACACUACCACAUAUUGAAAUAAAUUUCACAGCUGGUUAGUUUUAUUGUAUACAUCUAUACUUAUUUAUAUAUAAGAUUAAAACAAGCGAAAGUAAACUUCUGGGAAUCAAUCAAUAAAAACACAUCAGUCUUUUUAAAAAUGAAUGUCACUUUAUUACUGAAAUAAUUAUUUACACAAAUUUUUACAUGAUACAAAUUCAAAAGAAUUAACUUUGAAGACAGGGUGGUACAAUUGCUGUCACUAUCAACUGGGGGAUGCAUCUGACCAGUUGACCCAUAUACCCCAAUUUCUCAGCACUGCUUAACCUAAAAUGUUGCACCUAUGACACCCUUUUAAGUGUGUGGUGCUGUAGCGGGGCAAGCAGUUGUGGAACUUUAGAUUUGAUGAUAUGAAUGAUUAUCUUUCUUAAUCGCACAACCCAAAAGAACAAUUACUCACACAUGAAAUAAUUGUUGAUGUUGUUUGAGCAGUUAAAAUCUCAAAUGUGAAUUAUAGGAUGAUAAAAGGAAGCUGAAUAAAGUAGCUUAGUGCAGGAAAAUCUAGCUAAAACUAUAAAUAAACAAAGCACCUGGUAAAAGUUGAAUCAUUGUAAAACAAAAAAUCCAUUCAAACCAUUAUACACAUGUAUUAAAUGCAUAUUAAGUGCAUUAACACAGAAUAUCAUCACUCUGUGAAAUCGGGACUAUUCUAUUUCACAAGUCGAAGCUCACAGUAAACACACUGCCAGACAAUGCGAUAUGAGAGAGAUUUUUCAGCAACUUGAGCAAGGUUUGAAUUUAACUUUUUCAAUGACUAGCCAAUGGGCCAAACUAGCUUUCAUUUCACUAGUUUAUCAGUGUUUUCAUUAGUCCAUAUUUCAAAUAAAACAGGGAUAUUUUCUAACGGCUGUUUCAGACAGGCGCUCCAGAGUCGCCCUGAACCAAAAUUCUGAACCAAGUUCAUAAAAAAUUCAAUGUCUGAAAUAGUUGGGAGCGGCUGAAUGCACUAGAAGUCCAAAGAUCAACUGUUGCAGUAAUUAUGUCUUUGUUUCAAACGGCAAUCUUGUCAUGAGCCAAACCAAAUGCUAUGUUAAGUUCACCUGUCUGAAACCUUAACUUGUUUGGGUCGACCUAGAG